rnacentral:rRNA from 1 species
CCUACGGGUGGCAGCAGUGAGGAAUAUUGGUCAAUGGACGAGAGUCUGAACCAGCCAAGUAGCGUGAAGGAUGACUGCCCUAUGGGUUGUAAACUUCUUUUAUAAAGGAAUAAAACGAGGCACGUGUGCCUUUUUGCAUGUACUUUAUGCAUAAGGGUCGGCUAACUCCGUGCCAGCAGCCGCGGUAAUACGGAGGAUCCGAGAGUUAUCCGGAUUGAUUGGGUGUAAAGGGAGCGUAGAUGGGUUGUUAAGUCAGUUGUGAAAGUUUGCGGCUCAACCGUAAAAUUGCAAUUGAUACUGGCAGUCUUGAGUACAGUUGAGGUAAGCGGAAUUCGUGGUGUAGCGGUAAAAUGCUUAGAUAUCACGAAGAACCCCGAUUGCGAAGGCAGCUUACUAAACUGUGACUGACAUUGAUGCUCGAAAGUGUGGGUAUCAAACAGGAUUAGAUACCCGAGUAGUC